AUAAAAAAAUGAAUCUGGCUGAUGUUCAAAGUUUUCUGAAGUAUCUUCUACAGUUCCGAUUGAAGAGUCUGCGCGCUAAAGCCUGUUGAAACAGGAAGGUGUUACUCUGCUUGGCAAAGAUUUAUUGCAGACCCAGCCAACGCACAGGGCACAAUUUUGCAAACGCUGUAGAGAUAAGGUGCUCAGCGCUGAGUUAAGCCAGUUCAUCAAGCUAAGUAAUCAAGUUAUUCCUUCGGUUCUCAAUAGACUGGAAGUUCGAGCCACCUGCUCUGACAGGUGUAGGUUUGCAGCUCUCAUAAUCAUCUGGUUGGCAGUAUUUAAUGGCACUAGGUGAUCCCCAGUCACCAUGUUCAGUGAGAGGGAUUUUAUGGAGGUAACCCAGGCAAGUGGGGGUAACCGGCUGUGCGUUGCAAGCCACAAAAUGAACUAUAUCUUCGGUGAGUGUAGAUUUGUGAUGUCGGAGGAGGAGUACACUUGGCUUAAACUCUUCCAUCAAAUCAGGCCUCAUCUGAGUGGCUUCAGCAAUUCUUUUUCACUUCCUGCGGCAAAACAUACGAUCAUCUCGGGGAGUAUGUGGCCCAAAUAUUUGCUGAGUUCGGCAUUGGAAGUAAAGUGACGUUUGUUACACUUCGAUGAAGUGUUGCUACAAUGAACUUUAAUCAAGAGUCGGUUACAGAUUGCCGAGCCGUGGCCGACCAUAUGUCUCACUCUACCAUAAUUUGCCUCGGAAUACCAGCCGGGCCCAGUCACUAAUUGAGGGACAAAUUAAUCCAUGAUCCACUGUUGAAUAAAUAAAGUGUAUUACUUUGUAAUUCACCCGUGUAUGUGUGUGUCAUUUGAUCAUAGUUGAGUAGUUAUGGAGACCUGGGGGUCUGAAGGUCCAGGUAGCCUGUGGAUUGAUGAGUGAGAUGUGGGACUCAUUGAUUUGCAUUGGGUUCCCAGGCGCAAUUUCAGGACCGGCCAAAAGGUGGCACCUGGGAACCCAAUGUAAAUCAAUGACAGAGCUUGGCUGAAAAACGACUAACUUUCGCC
rnacentral:lncRNA from 1 species